UUGAAGAGAGAGUUAAAGAGGACGUGAAACCGGUAAGGUGGAAACGGAUAGAGUCGGCGUAUCAUUCAAUUAUUCAGUUACAUUAUUUUUAUGUUGUGACCUCUGAGCUCCAGAUUGGGACAGAGGGAAUCAGCAUAAUUUUUUGUGGUGCAUUUACUUGAUUGGUGCUUGGGGAUGUUUGAGGCAGAUUUGUUUCCGUCGUUUUGAGGCCAGCUUGCUGGUACCCAAACGGUGUUAGCAUUUUUUGUCUUGGGCAUUUGAGUAUGGCUCACGUGUAUUUAUUGGACAGAUCUGAGUGUAAGUUACGGUCGCAUGCGACACGUGCUUUUCAAUUAGUUCGGUCCAGUUAAUGCUCUCGUACUCGUUCCCCAUGUAAAAGCCGGUCAUCUAUCCGACCCGUCUUGAAACACGGACCAAGGAGUUUAUCGUGUGCGCAAGUUUUUGGGUGUUAAAAACUUAAAAGCGAAAUGAAAGUAAAUGACUCUUUAGAGUCUGAUGUGCGAUCUUGUAAAAAAGUGUAGCAUGGCCCCAUUCUAACUGUUUACAGUAGGGUGGCGGAAGAGCGUACGCGGUGAGACCCGAAAGAUGGUGAACUAUUCCUGAGCAGGACGAAGCCAGAGGAAACUCUGGUGGAAGUCCGAAGCGGUUCUGACGUGCAAAUCGAUCGUCUG
rnacentral:rRNA from 1 species